UGGGGGGUAUUGCACAAUGGGCGAAAGCCUGAUGCAGCGACGCCGCGUGGGGGAUGAAGGCUUUCGGGUUGUAAACCUCUUUCGCUAUCGAACAAGGCCCGCUUAGGGUGGGGUGAGGGUAGGUGGAGAAGAAGCGCCGGCUAACUACGUGCCAGCAGCCGCGGUAAUACGUAGGGCGCGAGCGUUGUCCGGAAUUAUUGGGCGUAAAGGGCUUGUAGGCGGCUUGUUGCGCCUGCUGUGAAAACGCGGGGCUUAACUUCGCGCGUGCAGUGGGUACGGGCAGGCUUGAGUGUGGUAGGGGUGACUGGAAUUCCAGGUGUAGCGGUGGAAUGCGCAGAUAUCUGGAGGAACACCGAUGGCGAAGGCAGGUCACUGGGCCAUUACUGACGCUGAGGAGCGAAAGCAUGGGUAGCGAACAGG
rnacentral:rRNA from 1 species